CCUGAACAUAAUAAUUCUACCAAUGCUGCUGACGGUCUGGACUCUAUUGAACAAGAGCCAGCUAUGCCCACCCACCGUUCCGACAGUCUGGCUGCUCUUGAGCAUGAGCUGUCUCAUGCCAAUAAAGCUGCUGACUGUCUGGCUUCUCUCAAGGCUGAGCCAACCAUGUCCACCCAGCCUGCUGACACUUUGGCAUCUGUUGAGCCUGAGCCUACUUUUUCCACCAAAGCUGCUGAUUGUCUGGCUACUGUUCAGCCUGAGCUAACUAGGUCAAACCACCCUGCUGACUGUCUGGAUUCUGUUCAGCCUGAGUCAUCUAUGUCCCCACACCCUGCUUACAGUUUGGUAGCUAUUGAGCCUGAACUGACUAAUUCCACCAAAGCUUCUGACUUUCUGGGUGCUGUUGAUCCCGAGUCAACCAAAUCCAUCCACCCUGCUGACAGUAUGGCAGUUGAUGAGCCUGAGCUGCCUAAUUCCAACAUUGCUGCUGACUGUCUGGACGACCUUGAGCCUGAUAGGACUAUUUCUACCAAUGCCGCUGACUGUCAGGCUGCUGUUGGGUCUGAGACAACCCUGUCCACCCAGCCUGCUGACAGUUUGGCAGCUGUUGAGCCUAAGCCGACUAAUUCCACCAAAGCUGCUGACUGUCUGGACUCUGCUGAGCCAGAGCCAACUAUGGCCACCCACCAUGCUGACAUUCUGACUGCUGUUGAGCCUGAACAUACUAAUUGCUCCAGUACUGCUGACUGUCUGCCUGCUGUUCAGCCUGAGUCCAGUAUGUCCACCCACCCUGCUGACAGUAUGGCUGCUAUUGAUGCUGAGCCUACAGAUCCUGCCAUUGUUGCUGACUGUCUGGCUGCUCUUGAACCUCGGCUGUCUCUUACAUGUGCUGCUGACAGUAGUGUGUUAGUUGAGAGUCAUGACUCAGGACCAGCUAGUCACAUUGGAUUGGAUUAUGUAGUUGAUUUACCUCUUUACAAGGAGAGUACAAGUGAAGAAGAAAUAUUUGAUUCUGCUACUUCAGAUGAGGAAUCUUCUUUUACUCCUGACGUAGAAGAAGGUCUGCCUGCUACUCAGGGUGCUGAGGAUAUUUUUCAUGCUUCCGCACGAGCUGAACCAAUAAACCACAGCUUGAACCUUCUCAGGGAGAGUGGAUAUCUUCGGGCAACAGAGAUACCACGCAUACCUUUUUUGCUCUUCAUAUGGCUUAUAUCCUCACUUUUAUCCAUCAUAACAUGGAUGAAAAUCCAAAUUCAACAAGCAUGGCAUGAAGAAAAUGGCCAAGGAGCUCCCACUAAGAAGAGAGUCGGACCAGUGGCUGCGGCUCCUGAUCCCUAGACCCUUGAUGCUCCUCCAGGAUCGAUUGGAAUAUCAAAACACAGUCUGUGUGGGAGAAUUGAUCAUAUAUAUAAAUUUUAAAAUAAAAUGUUCAGUCUAAUUGUAGACUGAAGUAAAAAUUGAUUGUUUCAUUG
ensembl:lncRNA